rnacentral:rRNA from 1 species
UACGUAGGGUGCAAGCGUUGCCCGGAUUUAUUGGGCGUAAAGGGCGCGUAGGCGGCUCGGAACGUCCGUUGUGAAAUCGCCCGGCUCAACUGGGCGGGGUCAGCGGAUACGGCCGAGCUUGAGCAAGCUAGGGGGCAAUGGAAUUCCCGGUGUAGUGGUGGAAUGCGCAGAUAUCAGGAGGAACACCUAUGGCGAAGGCAGCUCGCUGGGACGGUACUGACGCUGAGGCGCGAAAGCGUGGGGAGCGAACAGG